AUGUACACACCCCGUAGAAUCAUUUUGAGAGGCCAAACCAGUGCCGCCACUAGCCAUCUGAUAGGUAUUGCACUUAGGUCUAGCAAGAUGAUGUUCUGGACAAUGUUAACCUCGGCAGAGGGGAGAACACAGAAACACAUUGACACUCCCUCUGGCAGCGACUUUCACGCUCUACAGCUUGGACCGGAUAGACUACGGGAGCAUCAGUCACACAAGCUUAGGAACUUCAGCUGCGUGCUGCAUCGAUCUCCCCAUUGUGCCGCCCACGAGGUUCUUGACCGCUCCAGCAUCCAGAACACAUUCCCACGGUACACACAAGCUGUUCGAUCAAAUGUUGCAUGGCCACCGGUUGCCAUCAGUUGUUGUUCUUGGUUCUGUUCUGACUCAUCAUGGUGUGCCAUGCAAUCUAUCCGGUUGUUGAGGGGUGCUCCAUCUGAUCAUUGGUACUCUCUCUGUAGCAUUUUCUUAAAUUUCUAG
rnacentral:rRNA from 1 species